rnacentral:rRNA from 1 species
AUUGAACGCUGGCGGCAUGCCUUACACAUGCAAGUCGAACGGCAGCACGGGGCAACCUGGUGGCGAGUGGCGAACGGGUGAGUAAUGCAUCGGAACGUACCUUUCAGUGGGGGAUAACGUAGCGAAAGUUACGCUAAUACCGCAUAUUCUGUGAGCAGGAAAGCAGGGGAUCGCAAGACCUUGUGCUGAUUGAGCGGCCGAUGUCAGAUUAGCUAGUUGGUGAGGUAAAGGCUCACCAAGGCGACGAUCUGUAGCGGGUCUGAGAGGAUGAUCCGCCACACUGGAACUGAGACACGGUCCAGACUCCUACGGGAGGCAGCAGUGGGGAAUUUUGGACAAUGGGGGCAACCCUGAUCCAGCCAUGCCGCGUGAGUGAAGAGGGCCUUCGGGUUGUAAAGCUCUUUCGGCCGGGAAGAAAUCGCACGGGCUAAUACCCUGUGUGGAUGACGGUACCGGAAUAAGAAGCACCGGCUAACUACGUGCCAGCCGCCGCAGUAAUAC